CCUACGGGUGACAGCAGUGAGGAAUAUUGGUCAAUGGACGAGAGUCUGAACCAGCCAAGUAGCGUGAAGGAUGACUGCCCUAUGGGUUGUAAACUUCUUUUAUAAAGGAAUAAAACGAGGCACGUGUGCCUGUUUGCAUGUACUUGAUGAAUAAGGAUCGGCUAACUCCGUGCCAGCAGCCGCGGUAAUACGGAGGAUCCGAGCGUUAUCCGGAUUUAUUGGGUUUAAAGGGAGCGUAGAUGGGUUGUUAAGUCAGUUGUGAAAGUUUGCGGCUCAACCGUACAAUUGCAAUUGAUACUGGCAGUCUUGAGUACAGUUGAGGUAGGCGGAAUUCGUGGUGUAGCGGUGAAAUGCUUAGAUAUCACGAAGAACCCCGAUUGCGAAGGCGGCUUACUAAACUGUGACUGACAUUGAUGCUCGAAAGUGUGGGUAUCAAACAGGAUUAGAUACCCGAGUAGUC
rnacentral:rRNA from 1 species